GCACAAGCGGUGGAGCAUGUGGUUAAUUCGAAGCAACGCGAAGACCUACAGUCUUGACAUCCCGAUGCUAUUUCUAGAGAUAGAAAGUUACUUCGGUACAUCGGUGACAGGUGGUGCAUGGUUGUCGUCAGCUCGUGUCGUGAGAUGUUGGGUUAAGUCCCGCAACGAGCGCAACCCCUAUUGUUAGUUGCCAUCAUUCAGUUGGGCACUCUAGCGAGACUGCCGGUAAUAAACCGGAGGAAGGUGGGGAUGACGUCAAAUCAUCAUGCCCCUUAUGACCUGGGCUACACACGUGCUACAAUGGUUGGUACAACGAGUUGCGAGUCGGUGACGGCGAGCUAAUCUCUUAAAGCCAAUCUCAGUUCGGAUUGUAGGCUGCAACUCGCCUACAUGAAGUCGGAAUCGCUAGUAAUCGCGGAUCAGCACGCCGCGGUGAAUACGUUCCCGGGCCUU
rnacentral:rRNA from 1 species